UGGGGAAUUUUGGACAAUGGGCGAAAGCCUGAUCCAGCAAUGCCGCGUGUGUGAAGAAGGCCUUCGGGUUGUAAAGCACUUUUGUCCGGAAAGAAAUCCUUGGCUCUAAUACAGUCGGGGGAUGACGGUACCGGAAGAAUAAGCACCGGCUAACUACGUGCCAGCAGCCGCGGUAAUACGUAGGGUGCAAGCGUUAAUCGGAAUUACUGGGCGUAAAGCGUGCGCAGGCGGUUUGCUAAGACCGAUGUGAAAUCCCCGGGCUCAACCUGGGAACUGCAUUGGUGACUGGCAGGCUAGAGUAUGGCAGAGGGGGGUAGAAUUCCACGNGUAGCAGUGAAAUGCGUAGAGAUGUGGAGGAAUACCGAUGGCGAAGGCAGCCCCCUGGGCCAAUACUGACGCUCAUGCACGAAAGCGUGGGGAGCAAACAGGAUUAGAUACCCUGGUAGUCCACGCCCUAAAACGAUGUCAACUAGUUGUUGGGGAUUCAUUUCCUUAGUAACGUAGCUAACGCGUGAAGUUGACCGCCUGGGGAGUACGGUCGCAAGAUUAAAACUCAAAGGAAUUGACGGGGUCAUAGCUGUUUCCU
rnacentral:rRNA from 1 species